AGCCAUCAUUUAAAGAAAGCGUAAUAGCUCACUGGUCGAGUCGGCCUGCGCGGAAGAUGUAACGGGGCUAAACCAUGCACCGAAGCUGCGGCAGCGAACGUAUCACUUAAAGCGAUUCAGCGGGUUACGAUUGACGGAGCGAAGCGACGUCAAAGCGUAUACAAAGUCGAGUCGGUUUAAGGAUACGUUCGUUGGGUAGGGGAGCGUUCUGUAAGCCUGCGAAGGUGGCCUGUGAGGGUUGCUGGAGGUAUCAGAAGUGCGAAUGCUGACAUAAGUAACGAUAAAGCGGGUGAAAAGCCCGCUCGCCGGAAGACCAAGGGUUCCUGUCCAACGUUAAUCGGGGCAGGGUGAGUCGACCCCUAAGGCGAGGCCGAAAGGCGUAGUCGAUGGGAAACGGGUUAAUAUUCCCGUACUUGGUGUUACUGCGAAGGGGGGACGGAGAAGGCUAUGUUGGCCGGGCGACGGUUGUCCCGGUUUAAGCGUGUAGGUGUGUGUUCCAGGUAAAUCCGGUUCACUUUAACACUGAGGCGUGAUGACGAGGCACUACGGUGCUGAAGCAACAAAUGCCCUGCUUCCAGGAAAAGCCUCUAAGCAUCAGGUAACAUCAAAUCGUACCCCAAACCGACACAGGUGGUCAGGUAGAGAAUACCAAGGCGCUUGAGAGAACUCGGGUGAAGGAACUAGGCAAAAUGGUGCCGUAACUUCGGGAGAAGGCACGCUGACACGUAGGUGAAGUGAUUUACUCAUGGAGCUGAAGUCAGUCGAAGAUACCAGCUGGCUGCAACUGUUUAUUAAAAACACAGCACUGUGCAAACACGAAAGUGGACGUAUACGGUGUGACGCCUGCCCGGUGCCGGAAGGUUAAUUGAUGGGGUCAGCGCAAGCGAAGCUCCUGAUCGAAGCCCCGGUAAACGGCGGCCGUAACUAUAACGGUCCUAAGGUAGCGAAAUUCCUUGUCGGGUAAGUUCCGACCUGCACGAAUGGCGUAAUGAUGGCCAGGCUGUCUCCACCCGAGACUCAGUGAAAUUGAACUCGCUGUGAAGAUGCAGUGUACCCGCGGCAAGACGGAAAGACCCCGUGAACCUUUACUAUAGCUUGACACUGAACAUUGAGCCUUGAUGUGUAGGAUAGGUGGGAGGCUUUGAAGCGUGGACGCCAGUCUGCGUGGAGCCGACCUUGAAAUACCACCCUUUAAUGUUUGAUGUUCUAACGUGGACCCGUAAUCCGGGUUGCGGACAGUGUCUGGUGGGUAGUUUGACUGGGGCGGUCUCCUCCUAAAGAGUAACGGAGGAGCACGAAGGUUGGCUAAUCCUGGUCGG
rnacentral:rRNA from 1 species